GGAUCAAAGUCUCCUUGGUCAGCAUCUAUUUCAUUGCUACCAGCACUGCCUCAACUCCUGAUAAACAUAAGAGGGACACCAAAGCUGUGACAGCCCAACCUAUUCUCGCUUUUGCUGCAUGACUUCCUGAGCUGCUGCCUGCAGACAGACGAGGCACAGCGCUGGUCUGCUGAGGAGCUCCUGCAGCAUCCACUUGUAACAUUAACUGAGCCUGUGUCCAGCCUGGUGCCGCUGAUCAUUUCAGUGAAGAGGAGGAAAGAGGAGAAGACAUCAGGACCAGCGUAGAGUCAGAUUGUAGACUAG